UUUCUUUAAAAAAAACAUAAAUAUGUGUGAGUGAGAUGAAAUCAAAAUACUCCAACAAUCCUGCUUGCUUGAGUUGAAGCUACACUAAAUGAUCACUUUUCUUCAAUCCAACGAUUAUCAAACCUUCGAUCUCACCACAAAUGGCGGAUCAAACUGAGAUCUCCUUCGCCGGAUUAUUCUUUUGCAGCGCUUUUGCCGCCUGUUUCGCUGAGUUAUGUACAAUCCCUCUAGACACUGCUAAAGUUCGACUUCAACUCCAAAAGAGAGCAGCAUUGAGCGGAGAAGGUGGCUCACCAAAGUACAAGGGUCUUUUAGGUACGAUUGUUACUAUAGCCAAAGAAGAAGGUCUGCUUGCACUUUGGAAAGGUAUUAUACCUGGAUUACAUCGCCAGUUUAUAUACGGAGGCUUAAGGAUCAGUUUAUACGGCCCUGUCAAAGCCUUUUGUUCUGGUGGUAAUGUUCUUGCCGAUGAUGUUUCCUUGUUCCAGAAAAUACUUGCUGCUUUGAUUACGGGUGCUAUAGCGAUCACAUUGGCUAAUCCGACCGAUCUAGUGAAAGUUCGGCUUCAAGCUGAAGGUAAGCUGCCACCUGGAGCACCACGGCGCUACUCGGGUGCUUUAAAUGCCUACUACACCAUAAUCAAGGAAGAAGGGCUAGUGGCACUUUGGACAGGUCUAGGCCCAAAUAUUGCUAGAAAUGCUAUUAUCAAUGCUGCAGAACUCGUGAGCUAUGAUCAAGUGAAACAGACCAUUUUGAGAAUUCCAGGGUUCACAGACAAUAUUAUUACUCAUCUACUCGCCGGUUUAGGUGCAGGAUUCUUUGCGGUGUUGAUUGGUUCACCUAUUGAUGUGGUGAAGUCUAGAAUGAUGGGAGAUUCAAUAUACAAAAGCACCCUUGAUUGUAUGGUUAUAACCUUAAGAGUUGAGGUCUGUUAUACCAUUAAAUAAAUAAUAUUCUGUAGUGACUUGUUUUAGCCCCGCUUGCGGUAUGCACUAAUUUUAACGUUAUUCGUGAAAAAUAACGUUAAAAGAGGGGGAUGGUUAAUCAUGCAUCAUGUGGUGGCGUUGAUAGCCGAAAGACAAAAGGGUACAUGCACUAAUCGCCCUUUGUCCCGAUUGUUGAGUGUUAUGUGCCUUGUGAUGCAAAACUACUAUCGAGCCGGGGGUCAGCCUCUCUAUUCCUACGGGGUAGAGGGAGCCCUUGCGUUUUACAAAGGAUUCCUUCCAAAUUUUGGUCGUCUAGGAUCCUGGAAUGUUAUAAUGUUCUUGACACUUGAGCAAAUAAGAAGAUUAUUCUCUUGACUUGACAAGUUUGGACUCUCGGAUUCUCUAAUUCCCGAUUAUUCUGUUAUUCAUUCUUUGGUGACGACGGUUCAGGUAAUGUUAUAGUUCCAGUUGCCGCCCGUCAAAGACAUAAUAUAAUUAAUAGUCACAUGACUUGAAGCCAUAGGUUUUCUUGGAGUGGAUUAUCGUAUCAUACGUUAUAUUAUUAAAGUUUACAUAUGACGAGUUUUAUAAACUACGGAGCUCGGCUGCAUUGAACAAGUGAGCAUUAUAUACGGGUAUGGACAAUUAAUAAGUUAUUACGCUUGGCUCCAUUGAGCAAGUGUUACGGUUUUU